rnacentral:rRNA from 1 species
GAUGAACGCUGGCGGCGUGCUUAACACAUGCAAGUCGAACGGUGAACGAGGGAGCUUGCUCCCUCCGGAUCAGUGGCGAACGGGUGAGUAACACGUGAGCAAUCUGCCCUGGACUCUGGGAUAAGCGUUGGAAACGACGUCUAAUACCGGAUACGAGGCGUGGGGGCAUCCCCAACGCCUGGAAAGAACUUCGGUCCAGGAUGAGCUCGCGGCCUAUCAGCUAGUUGGUGAGGUAACGGCUCACCAAGGCGACGACGGGUAGCCGGCCUGAGAGGGUGACCGGCCACACUGGGACUGAGACACGGUCCAGACUCCUACGGGAGGCAGCAGUGGGGAAUAUUGCACAAUGGGCGCAAGCCUGAUGCAGCAACGCCGCGUGAGGGACGACGGCCUUCGGGUUGUAAACCUCUUUUAGCAGGGAAGAAGCGAAAGUGACGGUACCUGCAGAAAAAGCACCGGCUAACUACGUGCCAGCCGCCGCAGUAA